ensembl:ncRNA M18.12 ncRNA
GUAUAUAUUACACACAUGGGUUUCGCCACGAGGACUACGAAUCACAGUAACCCGUGGCUGCUCCCACAAGACCGUUCAAGUAAACUAAAUGCACAAAUUGCUGUCAAGACCCAUGGGCGCAAGAAAAGGUGAACAAUUUCAUCGAAUAAGUAAUACUAUGUGUUGCACCAUGUGUUUUAUUUUGAGAGAGCCACAUUUUUCUAUAAUUUUUACACAUAAAAUUUGAGCUUUUGUAAGUAAAAACUAGCAACCUCAAACUCUAGUUUACAAGUUAUAAAACUUUGUGUCUUCA